ensembl:lncRNA
GAAACAGGAGACUCAACAUGAGUUUUGGUGGGACAAACCAUAGCAAUAUGUAAAGAAGCUGUACAAGAAUUUAUAAGAAGUUGAAAGAGGCAGAUUCCCUCAGGGAGAAGAGAUAUUCAAUGUAUGAGACAAAUGAGGGAGAAUUGUUCCAGGAUGCAUUUGAGUUACUGUUUUUUACAACAUGGGCACAUAUUACCAAACAAUUGGAUAAAUAUAUGUUAAAAUUUAAAAAGAAAGUCCUUCAGGGGGAAAAAAUGUGGGAAGAAUGGAUAAAACAGCCUUGACCUGGUUUUCUCAUAACUAACAACACAUUACAUUAUCUGGUUUCUCACGGUUACCAGUGGACUAAAUAUAGGCAUAGCACUGACGGUGGCUGUUAGAAUUGUGAUCUGUGGCCACAGAGCAGAGCAGCAAACUGGUCCCCAGGAAGCUGAACUAACAGCCAUGGCCUCAUUCAUACAAUAAUGAGCAAACAUUACCCAGAAGGGUUUCCAUGCCUAAAGUCUAAAGGGGAGACCUGUGGUAGAAGCUCUCUCAGUUGAGAAGCACAACCCUAAGUAUAUGGUUUCCUCCUUCCCUAGUAAGGCUCUUGAUGCUGUGUCCUUGAAGAGAACGUCCCUCCUGAGCAAAUCCAUGUCUGUCUUCCAGCUUGGAAAAUCAGACAGUGAUGAAAACCUCAUUGUUGACGGUCCAUUCUUAUGGCUAUUUUGGAGAGUUUGCCCUUGUCUUGAAACAUUUCUAAAGUUGUCUUUUGACAUUUUCCCUCUUAUCUCUUAUAAUAACUGUGGCCAUUGUCUCUCUUUGCUGAAAGAGCACUUUUCUCCAGAUAUAAAGUUCCCCCUGAACAUUAGAUUUCUCUUUCUGACUUCGGUUGUUAUUAGCCCUGCAACAGUAGCAAAAUUAGGCCCAGACAUGAACCAGGCCUGCAAUCUAACAAAAUGCUAAGUAGUCUCAUGUGCACAUUUAACUUUCCCACUAUGUGCUGGACCAAAGAUCUGUCUUUACAUGCAGUUCUCAUGUGCAGGCAGCUGGCAUUUUGGGAAUGAGUGUGAUACGUAUGAAAGACGGAGGUCCGCAGCAUGAGGAAGAAGGAAACUCUUUAUGGCAUCUCCUUGGCAAAUUUGAAUUUCCAGAAUCACCACUUUUGUAAGUAAAAUAAGGGUUACUUAAACACAAGCACUGCAAUGCUGUGAUGGUUGGUUUGACAACUAAGGUGGCUUUUAAGUAACUACUGGGCAAAUAGCAGGUACAGAGUGGAUAUACUGCACAAAGGGAUGAGUCACAUUCGAGGUGGGACAGAGUAAGACUGUGUGAGAUUUCACCUUGCUGCUCAGUGUAGCAUGCAACUUAAUAUUCAUAAAUUAUUUAUUUGUGGAAUUUGCCACAAAGUAUUUUCAGAUCAUGGUUGACCACAUGUAACUGAAACCUGAGAAAAUGAAGCUGUGGGUGAGGGAGGAAUAGAAUUGCUAAGCUGUAUGAGAACAUAUGUUCAUCUUUUACUAGACACUGCUAAAUACUUUUCAAAGUGGUGGUAGCAAUACUUUAUUGCUUGCCUACUGGACAUGUAUGAGAGCUCUAAUUGCAUAAUAUCCUUUCCAACACAUACUUUCAUCUGUCUCUUUCAUUUCAGCUUUUCUGGUAGGUACACAUUAGUAUCAUAUUGUAGUUUUAAUUUUAAUUUCUCUGAUAACUAAUAAAGCUGAACACUGUGUGUGUGUGUGUGUGUGUGUGUGUGUGUGUGUACAUGUGCUUGUGGUAUGUGUGUUUUGUUUUUAAUGUGGUAUUGGGAUUGAAUCCAAAGCCUUUGCACUGAGCUAUAUGUUCAGCCCUCCCCUACCCUUUUUAAAAUUUUGAAACAGGGAUUGCCUAAGUCACUAAGUUGCCCAAGCCAGGCUUGAAUUUGUGAUCCUCCUGCCUGAGCCUCUCAGAGUGCUGGGAUUACAAGCGUGUGCCACCACAUCCAGCUUCUUUUCACACUUACUGGGCAUUUCUCAUAAAGACUGCUUAAGUCUUCAGCAAUUACCCUAUUGGGUUGUCUAGGCAAAGACCUCUUUAUGGUAUGAUGUUACAGAGUAAUAUUUAUUAGCAUGUCAGGUUGUUCGUGACAGGGUAAGAGGAAAAUAAAUGUUAUAAUGGAGCUAGUGUAGCACAAUCAUAUUUCCAUUUUUAAUCAUUUAAACAUGAAGGAUAGUGUACUAAUAUAAGAGCAAUACGUUUCUCUGAGAAAACAAUGAAUAAUUUUAAUUUCCUACUUUCUAGCUCUUCUUAUUUGUUUUUGUCUAAGUUUGUUUUAAUAACAAGCAUGGAUUACUUUUAUAACCUGGAAAAACAAUGAAGCUGGUUUCAUUAAGAAACAAACAAUUGCGACUCAAAAUGCAACCAAACUUUAUCAGCAUGCGUUGGCUUGGCUCAGCCAUCAGCCUCUUUCCAUCUGGAACACUGAGGGACACUGAGGAAAAGUGUCCUCUCUGGGCAUAGUUUGAAAGUUUGAGUUAGGAGAAGAGGGCGUGAAAAUGAAGAAUCACUUUCACUGCACAACAACCAUGUGCUUGUUCUCACCCGCAGAGCUGGGAGAUGAUCAGAGCCAUAAAGACUGGCUAAUUACUUCAAUUGCUCCUUCUCUGUAGAAGCAGACUUUCCCAUGCCAUCCGCUGGGCUUAUUUGGUUUGAUUACUGGAGUCCUGCUGUUAUCUGAAAUGAGUAGAGCACAUUAUUACUGUGAGCAAGUGUAAUGUUCCUGUUUACGUUUUGCAAGGCAAACGGGGUGACUUCCAGUUUUAAUAACCAGAGUCCUACAAGUCACACGUAACACUGCCCUCUCUCUUCCAUUUUGGGUUCUACUUGGUCCUACUAACCCAUAAGCCAAAAACAAACGUCAAACCAUCACACCCACCAACAUACUGAUUCUGAGGAAAUGUGAAACAAGUUUCCAGUACAAUCCAAAGAACUCUUUUCCCCUGAAGCACUUGAGUGUUAAGUUGAACACAUGAUUUUCCAUCAUUUCAAAUACUUCACUAUUUUCUAUAAAGAAGGCCAUUCUUUUACAUAAUCAGAAUAUAACCAUCAGC